UUUACUUUGGCUUUCUGUUUAAGGGUACAGUCUAUGGGGUAGCAGCAGGUGUGUAAGGUCACUGGUCCCAUUGUGCCCACAGUAAGGAAACAGGAGAGAAAUGCUCCUGUCCAGCUGGCUUUCUUCUUUCCAUUCAGGAUGGAGUCCCAGCUGGGAGACAGUGACAGCACACUCAGAGUGGAUCUUCCUUACUUAAUAAACAUCCUCACAGACCUCCAGUCAGGUUAGUGACAAGGACGAGCCAUCUCAUCGCUACUAGGGAUGAUGAUCUUGUACUGAAGUUUAGUGCUAAAAUGAGGUUCCACCUUCAGGGAAUCUCAGUUCUCGUAGAGAAGCAAAUGCAUGAAGACAUAGAUGGUUCCUGCAAGCUUUGACGAUGGGUAGCCAGGGAGACACUGAAUGGACAUUCAAAUGUACUUCCAGAGAUGCCUCCAGCUGGACAUUCACUGAGUGUGUGAACUUCUUUUAUAAAAUACAAAUACAGCUAAGAGACCCUGUGGGUUGCUGUCUGUAUGCAGACGAGGUCAGGUGAAAUCUUAGUCAAAUGAGAGAGAGAGAGAGGGAGAGAGAGAGAGAGAGAGAGAGAGAGAGAGAGAGAGAUCUACAUGGCCUGAAAUAGUCACAGGUAGCUAUGGAUAUCAUAGAAGGGCAAUAGAGUAAUGUAGGUCACUCUUUCCAACCUUGUGUGCAGCUUGUAUCAAUAUCAAUUGAGUUUUGAGUACUUUGUGUGGGCAUUUUGGGGUUGAGGAUUUGCCAUUAUAAAUCUGGCUGGUAAAUUAUAAACCUCGGGUGUUUUCAUUAUACAGGGCUAGGAGUUUAGAGCCAGCAGCAGCCAGUCUCGGCAGGCUAGCUGCAGGGGUAGGAUGGCCUGGGAGGGUAUGAGCAGUUCGGGAGCCUGGGAAGACUGUGCCUUAUGGCUCCUCAUGGGGUGGUGAGACCAUGGUGCCAGUGCCAGCCAUAGCCGGACUUAGCGUGCAUUGUUUUUUUAUAAUUACAUGCUACCAGACUCUGCCUGAACUGAGGGUGUAGUUAAGUAUGACUUGGUUCCAUCAGCUUACUUUCUGCUGCCACUUUGCUCAAGUCAUACUAACGAAGUGAUAUUUCUAUUUAAGGGGAAGUGUCUUGCGUUGGGAGUGUAAUUGAUCAUGGGCAGCAUAGAAUGCAAGUGGUUUAGGAGUUAAAAAAGCAUCAGGAAGCUUCCCAGAAAGCACAGAGAAAAGUGUCAGGAUUCAAGAACAGGCAAACCUUGGAAAUAGUAGACCUGGAAUAGACGUCAUAGUAUGCAUCAUGAGCCAAUGCUAAAAAUAACUUCAAUCGUGUUAUAUUAAUGAUGGAAUUUUAUAUUUGGUAAUUAAUAAUUAGAAUCUUAUAAAGCUGCAUCCUGUUUGUAUGUAACCAAUGUGUUAAAUUUUACUUGUUAUAGUUUUCCUUCCUUCCUUCCUUCCUUCCUUCCUUCCUUCCUUCCUUCCUGUUUCCUGGGGACUCGCAGAGAGAAGGAAGCAAGGUUUGUCCUGCGGGUAUCCUUUCUCACAUCUGCUAGCCCGAGUUUGAGAGGGUGUGUGUGGGACAGUGCCAGAGACGCCCGCUGCAACCUUCUUAGUCCCUCGGAGUGUCAGGGUCUGGUAAAAGAGACAGAUUGCCACCACCAAACCCACCAGGAAAGGUCGGGGGCAAAAUCGCCGGCGACAAAGGAACCCGGGUCGACAGACCAUGACCAGUCCAGGUUCACUUGGCCCCUGGCCACGUUGUCAGUGUGAAAAAAGCACACAUCUGUCUUCUUUUUACAGAAUUCCAAUUAAGUUCGCUCCAUCUCCACUUGAGAACUUUCUGAAGGUUCAUGCCAAAGAUUCAUAGGACCCAGCGGUCAGAGGUGGUUAAUAGCCCUUAAAUGAAGGACAGUAAGAAGUGACUGGCCAGAUUUUUUUUUUUAAAGAUGUCAAAAUAAAAAUAGUUGUAAGAAAUCAUCCGAAUGCAUCCCCAGCUGCCAAGAGUUCCUUCCGGUAAUGUCUUACUUCCACAACAUUCUUAAAGUCAGGAGUUCAGCUUGUCUCGUCUUUUGGGGCAAAAAGAAAGCACAGUAAAGCGGGUCUGGAGGCAGAAACCAGCAGAAGACGCAGUCGAUGUAACACGAAGUGCCUGUUGCACAGCUGGGCGCCGGCCAGGUUGUCCUAGCAGUUUCUCAUUUUCCCUCUGGUUUUAAAGCCAUCCCGCUCCCAGCCUUUUAAGUUGCAGAACUGCCUCCUUUCGUUCAGUUUUAAAUUGCCACUUUGCUGCUAGCAUUCACGGCUUUUAACAUAAAAAAAAGUGGGGAGGGGGUCUAGCAGUUUGGCUGUAUGUGGUUACUGUCAGGGCUUUGCUUGCGUUUGGUCUCAUUCCGUUUCAAGUUCAAAGUUCUGUGUACUUACUCAGUUUUCAUCCUUUUAGCCAGAUUUUUUUUUCAUGAUCCCCUAACGGAUUGCUGAUCAAAAUCACUUGGAAGGAAACACCCAGGCGUAGGACUCCGCUUCAUCUCACUCUCACGCACGGACACACACGCGCAGACACGCGGAGACACGCGCGUGCCAGCUGCACACAGGGCCGAGAGCCGGAGGACCCGGGCCAUCGCUGCCACCCAGGCCGAGC
rnacentral:lncRNA from 1 species